CUUGCUCCAGUGUCAAACACAGAUAUCUUCUUUUGUCCAAAACUUUGAUCUGUUUUUUUGUGAUUUAUUAUUUUUGAUUGAUUUUAGCAUGAUUUUUGAUGCAGAGAAAAAUGGUCUUCUAAAACCAGGAGAUUUCAAUUCAAUGCUUGAUUCUUUCGCACUACCACCAUAGUUUUCUUUGUUCAAUGUCUCUGACUUUUUAGUUUCUUCUUUUAGGGUGUCCUGAUUGAGCCAACAAGUGGAAACAUCGAAGAUGGGUUAGCACUAGUCAUGAGCACGGGGCAAGUACCCGGCACUUUUGAGGAAGCGACCACACUACUUUGUCUCCUCCAGGAUAUCCUCGCCAGUUCAUCAUAAGUUUCUUCUAUGAACUUUCCAGAUUUUUUAAGUUGACCCUCAUGUCUGCCACCGUCAAUGGUUCACAUGCUCGCGACUUUACGACACCGGUUCAAGACUGGUUCGAAAAAUUCUUAAAAUGCACUAUACCAAUGAUUUGUCUGUUGAUCAGAUCAAACGAUGAGAAGAGGAAACCAUCAGUUGCUCCUCCUUCCGGGUUAGGAAUACAAUGAAGUUGACUAAAGAGAUAGAAAAAGAAGCUGGAAAUUGGUUCAUAAAGUUUAUAGAAAAAGCUUUGGAGAAGGGGAUGAAGAAGUGUAAAGGCACGGGUGAUGCAGAUGUUAACAAGUUCCACUGUCUCUGAUUUUCUAAGUUGUAAACUAGGUGAAAGCAGAACAGACUGCUGAUAGCACGAGAUAUAGGUACAUCCAAAAGCAUCAUAGGUCACUAGAAAGCUCAGAAUCAAAAUGAAGAAUUUAAACAUGAUUCUUUUAUAUUGUUCUCACUUCUAUUUCAAAGGCUUUUUUUUGAACAA